rnacentral:rRNA from 1 species
UUGGAGGGCAAGUCUGGUGCCAGCAGCCGCGGUAAUUCCAGCUCCAAUAGCGUAUAUUAAAGUUGUUGCAGUUAAAAAGCUCGUAGUUGAAUUUCGGGGUUAGUAGUUUGGUCGUGCCAAUGGUAUGUACUGGGCUCACUGAUUCCUCCUUCCUGAUGAACUGUAAUGCCAUUAAUUUGGUGUUGCAGGGAAACAGGACUGUUACUUUGAAAAAAUUAGAGUGUUUAAAGCAAGCUAACGCUUGAAUACAUUAGCAUGGAAUAAUGAAAUAGGACGUUCGAACCUAUUUUGUUGGUUUCUAGGAUUGACGUAAUGAUUAAUAGGGAUAGUUGGGGGCAUUAGUAUUCAAUUGUCAGAGGUGAAAUUCUUGGAUUUAUUGAAGACUAACUACUGCGAAAGCAUUUGCCAAGGAUGUUUUCAUUAAUCAAGAACGAAAGUUAGGGGAUCGAAGACGAUCAGAUACCGUCGUAGUCUUAACCAUAAACUAUGCCGACUAGGGAUCGGAUGAUGUUAAUUUUUUAAUGACUCAUUCGGCGCCUUACGGGAAAC